rnacentral:misc_RNA from 1 species
UACUCUCACACUCCUAAUUGCUUUGGAUUGGGAGCGGUGGACUUGGGUGCUGCUGCUUGACCGUGGCUCACCUGAAAUAUGAUAGUGCACCUCCUGGUUGGACAUAGUACGGCGUGAUAAGUGUCUUCGCCGGCUCCUCGCAACGAGGGUGGCCGAUCGGGAGCUCUGUGCUUCAAACUGUCUUCGGACAAUCUUCUGGCG